rnacentral:tRNA from 1 species
GGGGAUCUAGCUCAGUGGUAGAGCGCUUGCCUAGCAAGCACAAGGCCCUGGGUUCGAUCCCCAGCUCCG